rnacentral:rRNA from 1 species
UACGAAGGGUGCAAGCGUUACUCGGAAUUACUGGGCGUAAAGCGUGCGUAGGCGGUUCGUUAAGUCCGUUGUGAAAGCCCUGGGCUCAACCUGGGAAUGGCAGUGGAUACUGGCGAGCUAGAGUGUGAUAGAGGAUGGUGGAAUUCCCGGUGUAGCGGUGAAAUGCGUAGAGAUCGGGAGGAACACCAGUGGCGAAGGCGACACCCUGGACUCAUACUGACACUGAGGUGCGAAAGCGUGGGGAGCAAACAGG